rnacentral:rRNA from 1 species
GAAGUAAAAGUCGUAACAAGGUUUCCGUAGGUGAACCUGCGGAAGGAUCAUUAAUGAAUUCACUAUGGAGUUGUUGCUGGCCUCUAGGGGCAUGUGCACGCUUCACUAGUCUUUCAACCACCUGUGAACUUUUGAUAGAUCUGUGAAGUCGUCUUUCAAGUCGUCAGACUUGGUUUGCUGGGAUUUAAACGUCUCGGUGUGACAACGCAGUCUAUUUACUUAACACACCCCAAAUGUAUGUCUACGAAUGUCAUUUAAUGGGCCUUGUGCCUAUAAACCAUAAUACAACUUUCAACAACGGAUCUCUUGGCUCUCGCAUCGAUGAAGAACGCAGCGAAAUGCGAUAAGUAAUGUGAAUUGCAGAAUUCAGUGAAUCAUCGAAUCUUUGAACGCACCUUGCGCCCCUUGGUAUUCCGAGGGGCAUGCCUGUUUGAGUGUCAUUAAAUUCUCAAACUCACUUUGGUUUUUUCCCAUUGGGAAGGUUGGAUUGGUGGGGGCUGCUGGGCUUGACCGGGCCGCUCCCCCUAAAUGGAUUAACAAGACUUCCCAUUGGCUCCGGCCAUGAAGUGAAUAUUAUCACUCAUCCAUAACACCCAUGAAUAAAAUCCAACUCUCUAAUCGUCCGCAAGGACAAUUUGACAAUUUGACCUCAAAUCAGGUAGGACUACCCGCUGAACUUAAGCAUAU